rnacentral:rRNA from 1 species
UACCAGCACCCCGAGUGGUCGGGACGUUUAUUGGGCGUAAAGAGCGCGUAGGCGGGUUUUUAAGUCAGAUGUGAAAUCCCGGGGCUCAACCCCGGAACAGCAUUUGAAACUGAGAAUCUUGAGGGUAGUCGGAGAAAAUGGAAUUCCACGUGUAGCGGUGAAAUGCGUAGAUAUGUGGAAGAACACCGGUGGCGAAGGCGAUUUUCUAGAUUAUUCCUGACGCUGAGGCGCGAAAGCAAGGGGAUCAAACAGG